GCCCAACCCAGGCCCAAGGAACUUGACCUGAACCAGGAGGGUUUCCAGGAGUUCCUCAAUGAGUGAUGACGGCAUUCUCAGGACAGCCCUGCUGGCUCCAGCUCCACAGGAGUAUGCCUUCGGGGCACGUCAGUUCCUUUCCCCUCCGGAUUUUUUGAGGGGGAGGAUGGUUUACUCUAGCAUAAAGACAUCUUCUUUGCGCCACUCUCUUCAAGCUUAAGAUAUUGAGGCCUCAGAAGAACAAGUCAUGAAUGUGAUCCCACAGAACUCUGUGCUAACCCAUGACUCCACAGCAACCAGAUGGUGCCUCUGUGACAGACAUUAGCACACACACUGAGGACAAACAGAUCGGCUGGACAACUUUCUGCCUUCAGGCUUUUUGAAUCUCCUUAUGGGUGAAGACAUUCCAUGGCACCAGCAGGAAUAAACAAGGUCACAUGGCCACCCAGCGGAGGCUUUCAUUAGAUAGAUAGGAUAGUCACGCCCUCUCAGCUUGAACAGGUGACCCCUCACAUGGGCAUAACUGUCUGAGACUUUCAAAGGAGGACAGGAUCAACUGCCUACGUGGAGACAUCUAGAAAUACCUGGGAGACGGGCUUCUGGGUCAGCCUGGGGUGCAUUAUCCCGAUCAGGCUAAUUAAAGCUUGCCCACUGUGGGUGGUACCACUCCUUAGGCUGGGUUGUUUGACUGCAUUUAAAAAAAAAAAAAAAGGAGGAGGAAGUGAGCUGAGCCCAGGUGUUCACUCUCUGCUUCCUGACCGUGGACUCGAUGUGAGCAGCUGCCUCCGACUCCUGCAGCCCUGACUUAUCUACUACGAUGGACUGAGACCUGGAACCGUGAGCCAGGUGAAACCCUUUCUCCUUUAAGUUGCUUUCGUCAAGGUACUUUAUGAUAGCAACAGGAAAGUUAACAAAGAUGUCCCUCCUGCCACAGCUCUUUCUUCACCAUAACGAAUCCCCAGUUGUUUGGUGACGCUCUGACUUCUGCAACUGUGUCACCCAAAGUCUCUUGGGUGACACCGUCCUGAAGAGGCAAUGGCUGUGUGGAUGCUUCAGGCCACUGUGGUUCAAUAGAAGAGUCAAGCUGGACUUCACUGUUCCCUUGAAGGCUUGUCUGCUGAGUUACCUUUUCCUCAUCAGUGAAAGGAGGAUGCAACAUGCCCAUGUGAGCUCGACAGCCCAGGAUCCCAACCAGGGACCGGUCAGAGCCACAGCGGGUGUGUUGCUGCACUUCCGUUAAUACAAUCGAGACCAUCCCUUCCAAGUCUGACCUGAGCCAGUCUCCCAGGUGAUAAAACUGACAACACUGACCACCAUAGUGGAUGAGGAUAGGAAGAACCAUCCUAAUACUACAGAGGCAACGGAAAAUGCCACCUCAUGCUCCUGCUGCUGUGACAUCCCAGCCACGGACUGUGCCCUGGAACUGUGAGCCAAAACACACCUCCCCUUCCUUAUGAUGCCUUUGUUAGACAUUUGUCGUAGCAACGAGAAAAGUCACUACAGAAGUAUAUGACAUGCCUACCCUCUUGGAAUAUAGGUGUGUGUGCUCCCCUCUGCUCUCUAUACCCUUUGAGUCCAUCUCUUCUCCUUUAUCAGCAAUUCGUUUUUAUCUUAUGAGAUUUUAAAAAAAGAGAGAUUUUGUUUGUUUAUUCAUUUGUUUGUUUGUGUGGAUAUCCCCCACCUUCCAUGGAUGGGGUCACAGUCACUUAAACACUGGAGAUUGUUGGCAUAACGUUAUUGCAUGCUGUAUAAAAUUCAUCCUUGUAUUAUUCACACGCUCAUUUCUCUAUCCCACUCUCUGGUUUCAAUCCAGACACGACACUGUAAUGCUUAUUCUAAGAUAUCUCCUGUCUCAAGUUUGUGCACAGCGGCACACCAUUUAUUCUCUGUCUUGUCAAUAAAGCUGGCCAGCAAGUAACUGGGCAAUAGAGAAAAUAGGGUGGGGUUUCUGAUUCCAGCGAGGGGAGGAGAGGAGAUUUAGCCAGGAGGAGGAGAGAGAAAAGGUCACCUUGAAAGGGCAGCUGGAGCAUAGAAGGCCAUAAAUGCAAGUAUUAUGGGGAUUUUGGGUGGGAAGGAGCUAUAGUAUUUUAGAGUAUUCGAAUAGUUAUUAUGCAUUUAAAUCAAAUAAAUCAUAGUCUCUCUGUCUCAAUUAUUUGGGAAGUCGCUGGGUUAAAGAAAAUUGUUGCUUUAUUAAUUUCAUGCUACAGGAGAUGGAGAGGAGAAAGAAAGGGUUAACAGGUUAGACCUGAGAGCCGCAUCAGCACCCAUUCCUUUGUAUUUGAUCACCUGGUUUCAUGAAAGAGAUUCGCUUCAUGCAUGCACACUUUACAUUCACCGUGUGCUGCAGGGCAUGGUGGCUUUAAUCCCGGUACUCUGAAGGUUGAGGUGGGAGGAUCUCUGUGAAUUCAAGGCCAGCCUGGACUACCUAGAGAAACCCUGUCUCAGACAAACAAGUUCACCAUGUUCAUUUUCCACUUGGUGUAUUUUUGGACCGUUUUGUUUUUAAGUGCAAACAAAAUCAGAAAACCAGAGACCCAACAAACUCUUCCAUCCUCUGGCAAGCUCUUGAGACAAGUCAUUGCGUUUCAAUGGAUGGGUUCCUGGGGAUGGAACACGGGAUCUCAGGUUUGCUCAGCAGGCACUCUAACAACAGCCAGACUCCAUCCCUGUGUCAACACAUCAUAGCUGAAAUGGGAAGACAUCUCUGCUCGGAGUGGUGACCUGUUGGGGACUCGGUUUGUCAGAGUUAGAAGCAGAGGUGUAAACACGAACUCUGUUUAAGUCAAAAUCUAAUUCCACCACUUCAUUCUUCUUUUCUUCUGUAAGUACUCGGCCCGGUGUCCUGCUGAGUUUUUGUCAGCUUGCCACAAGCUAGGGCCCUCUGUGAAGAGGAACCUCAACUGAGAAAAAUGCCUUCGACAAUUCAGCCCGUGAUGUGUUUUCUUGAUUGAUGACUGAUGUUGGAGGGUCCCGCUUACUGUGGGGCAGGGGGCACCCCUGGCCAGGUGGUCCUGGGCUGCAUAAGAAAGCAGGAUGUGCAAGCCGUGAGGAGCAACCAAUAAGCGACACUCCUCCAUUCACCCUGUGUCAGAUCCUGCCUGCCUCUUGAGCUCACACCCUGGCUUUCCUCAGUGAUGGACUAUAAGCUGUAAGGUGAAAAAAAAAAAAAAAGAAAAACAAACCCUUUCCAAGUUGCUUCGCAUCAUGGCGUUUCAUCACGACAAUAGAAAGCGAACUAAGACAAGUAAUAAUAAAGAGCCAUUUUUCUAAUUUAAGACUUAAAAACAGUUACUGUGAAGGUAAAGGCAUAUCAUAGGACGAGAGCUUUCUCUCUCUCUCUCUCUCUCUCUCUCUCUCUCUGUGUGUGUGUGUGUGUGUGUGUGUAUGGGAAGGUUAGAGGUUGGCUAUGAGUGUCUUCCUCACUGGUCUAGAAUGCACAGAAAUCACCUGCUCCCUGUCCAUGACCCUCCAUUCUUAUCUAUCAUUUUCCUGUCUCCUUCUGUGACAGGGAGCUAAGAGAACUCAUAACGGCAGAUCUGUGUUUUGCCACCGCCAUAUCUCUGGCUCCAAGGGGUGGACUCUCCUUUUGGGGUCUAGAGCUGGAGCCAGCAUGGUUUCAGGUCAGGUCGGCUCACAAUGGCUGGGUAAAGAUCCCGAGGCCCACACAAGAGUCCCGCUCCUCCAUGUCCCCUCCAAAGUGAACAGGGGAUAAGCACCCUUGUAAGACAGUCGGUCUCAUUUGGUGGAUGUGAAUUCAAUGGCUCCCGGGCUCCAUUCUACUCAUCCUGGCUCCGGCUUAAGUUUUAAAACUAAUUCUCUCAGCAUUAAUCUGAAAGGAUUCUUCAAACAAAGGCUCAACUUCUGAGUCUAUUUACCCAGUGUGCAGCUGUGUCAAUCGGCCAAGACAAAGCCAGGCUUCCUGGCCAGCCCACAAUGGGCGGCAGGUAGUUCUCUGAACAGAGGAGCCCAGGGCAGGGGCCUCUCACCAGGCCACCACCCUCCUCCCAGUGAGGAAGAGCUGGAGCCCAGGGGUCAAGAGAAAAGGAGGGUGUCCCUCCCCCACCUCCCCGACACAAGUGGAGACUGAAAGAUAUGAUCUGUAAGCCCAUCAAUUAGGGCUAUUAAAAAGGUAAUUAGCCCUCUUCCAUGGAAACCAAGGACAGAGAUGUGAAAAGAGGGAAAUUCAUUUCCAUGUGGUUACAUUGUAAUGUGACUGGUACCUUUAGUAACGAAUGAGGUGCUACUGUUGAAAACAUCACUUGAUCAUCUUGGGGAGAAGAGGACAUCAAUUCGGCUACAAGGAUAGCUUAUGAUAAAAAUAGGAAUUAUUUUUUUAAAGUCUUUAAAAAAACAUGUGUUUCUUUUUUUUUUCUACUGUCAAACCCUAGGUACAAAUUAAAUGGCCAGAUUUGGAAGGCUAAAGAGUUGAGAGCAUCCCUUUCUCUUCAUCCCUUUCUCUUCAUCCCUUUCUGUGGCAGGAAGUAAAGUAUGAAAAUACCAACAAUGCACUAUUUGUCCUGGACUCUUUACGUGUGAAGUUCAGAAUUUAGUGUCUCUGUUCCCUCUCUUUUCAAGAAUGUGUGGAUAUUUUGAUAAUAAAAGGCCAAAAGGGAACCAAAUGACGGAGAAAAGACCUUUUCAUAAUGAGAGUUGAAGUUCUCUAUUGACAUGGAACUGAAGAACAGGAUGAGUCUCUGCCACACUGGCCCAUUUCACAAUGAACGCACAAACCUGUUUUUAUUGCCUGUGUGUGUGUGUGCUUGCAAAUAAAGAAUAAUUUAAACAUUUUCCCUUUCCUACCAUCUGAUAUUCUCCUUCUCUGUCCCUACAUUUUUCCCCCAGUUAAAAAAAAAUGCACAUAGCAAGCUGUGCAGAUUAGAAGUUGCCAUUGGCUGUAUAUAUUGUACCAAUUAAUCCAUACAACAAAGAUGUACUAUGUUUAAUGAUCUCUGAAGACUACUGUCCCCCCCAUCUACUUUAGGCAACCAUGAUUUUUAAUUUUAUUUCUAUAGAGCAGUUGAACUUGCUCUUGAAAUUUUCAUAAAUGAAAUUCUAUUUUAUGAAUCCUUUUAUAUGUGGCAACUUUUGGUUAAAAUACUUUUAUUUUUUUCUUAUUUUACCUGAGAUUUGUAUUGAUGUGGAGUGUGUUAAUAGUCUAUAGUCUUGUUUAAAAACAUUAUUUGGUUGUGUGACAAGUCCACAAAGCAUCCAUUCUUGUGUUGAUUGACCCUUGAGUUCUUG